rnacentral:hammerhead_ribozyme from 1 species
ACACUGCCGAGGAGUCCCAUAAUAGGACGAAACGGCUGUCCAGUGC